AGGUUACUGCUAUCGGUGUUCGCCUAAGCCAUGCGAGUCAUAUGUUCUUCGUGAACAUGGCGUACUGCUCAGUAACACGUGGAUAACCUGCCCUUGGGUCCGGCAUAACCCCGGGAAACUGGGGAUAAUUCCGGAUAACGCACAUAUGCUGGAAUGCUUUAUGCGUCAAAUGGAUUCGUCCGCCCAAGGAUGGGUCUGCGGCCUAUCAGGUAGUAGUGGGUGUAAUGUACCUACUAGCCUACGACGGGUACGGGUUGUGAGAGCAAGAGCCCGGAGAUGGAUUCUGAGACAUGAAUCCAGGCCCUACGGGGCGCAGCAGGCGCGAAAACUUUACAAUGCGGGAAACCGUGAUAAGGGGACACCGAGUGCCAGCAUCAUAUGCUGGCUGUCCGGGUGUGUAAAAUACACCUUUUAGCAAGGGCCGGGCAAGACCGGUGCCAGCCGCCGCGGUAACACCGGCGGCCCGAGUGGUGAUCGUGAUUAUUGGGUCUAAAGGGUCCGUAGCCGGUUUGGUCAGUCCUCCGGGAAAUCUGACGGCUUAACCGUUAGGCUUUCGGGGGAUACUGCCAGACUUGGAACCGGGAGAGGUAAGAGGUACUACAGGGGUAGGAGUGAAAUCUUGUAAUCCCUGUGGGACCACCUGUGGCGAAGGCGUCUUACCAGAACGGGUUCGACGGUGAGGGACGAAAGCUGGGGGCACGAACCGGAUUAGAUACCCGGGUAGUCCCAGCCGUAAACGAUGCUCGCUAGGUGUCAGGCAUGGCGCGACCGUGUCUGGUGCCGCAGGGAUGCCGUGAAGCGAGCCACCUGGGAAGUACGGCCGCAAGGCUGAAACUUAA
rnacentral:rRNA from 1 species